AAUAAGGUAGAUAUGAUGGUAUGUGAUAGAAACUGACUAAGAAGCCUGUAUGCAGGGGGUGGAGCUUGGAGUUUCAACUUGAAAGUUUCAAACAUGGGACUCUAAGAAAAUAGUCUGAAUGGUAAUGAGAAAGUUGUCACUUUAGUAUCUGCUUCCCUUGAAGAAAAGCACCUUUAGAGGAACCAGCUUGGAGAAUAGUGUCAGCAUCAAAGUGGGACACUUCAUUAUUUUUAGUGGCAGUGUGGUUCUGACGAGCACACCCUCGGUGACCUUUACUUCACUGUCAGCCCAGCUCUGUCAAUCCUUCUUUAUUAAGGAAGGAAGCUGACGGAUCUUUUCUUUCUUUCUUUCUUUCUUUCUUUCUUUCUUUCUUUCUUUCUUUCUUUCUUUCUUUCUUUCUUUCUUUUCUUCCUUCCUUCCUUCCUUCCUUCCUUCCUUCCUUCCUUCCUUCCUUCUUUCUUUCUUUCUUUCUUUCUUUCUUUCUUUCUUUCUUUCUUUCUUUCUUUCUUUCUUUCUUUCUUUCUUUCUUCCCUGGAGUAGGAUGUUUUCUGUACAUAGUUAGCAUGUGAACUUCUUUUUAAAAAGAAGUUUACAUUUUACUCUAAUUCUCAUCCAGAAUGGAGUGUGGUGAUUUGCAUUUGGGCAGUUAGGAAAAUCAGUUCUGUUGACUUCCUGUUUUCUAUUUCCGGCCUCGAGCAGAACUUCCCAUUUGAGUGAGACCAAGAAGAACAUACAAAGCUGAAAUGUUCUCCCGAAGUUGAUUUCCAAUGGGGAUAAAGUCAGAGUCCCAAAGCUUUAGUGCAGGGUUCCAUGGACUCAGGAGUUCAAAACAUGCUGCUCAGGCUGAGCUCUUGGCCAGAUUUGGAGAUUCCAGUGUCUUCUCCCUUUGACAGUUCCUAAGAAUAUUUUAUUUGGAUCCUUUUCUUUAGGUUUUUCUGUCUAAACAUUUUAUUUUACCUAGUGUGAAGGGGUGAGGGAGGGCAGAUUGCUUCCUUUCUUCCUCCUCUCCCUUUUCCCCUCCCCUCUCCCUUAUUCUCUGUUUAUAAUUUAAAAGGAUGCUUACUUUCAUUUUCUCAUUUGCUUCCUUCACAGCACCCUGUGAGGCUGAUACUGUUAUCCCCCUUUGACAGAAGGGGAAACUGCGGUUUCAGUGAAUUUCAGUGACUUAGCCAAGUCACUCAGUUAACAAUGCUGAGAGUGAAGCCCUAGUCUUCUGCCUUUAGAUCUCUUUUUCCCAAUACCAUACUGCUUUUCUGGUGGAGAUUGUGGUAUAUAGGAUGAUGUCCGAAAGGAGAGGCUGGGAAGCCUGAAACGAUCACAUUGACAACUGAAUUGUCUAUUUUUUCUAAUAAAAUAGAAAAUGUUAACUAAA